GAUGAAGAACGUAGUGAAAUGCGAUAAGUAGUGUGAAUUGCAGAAUUCAGUGAAUCAUCGAAUCUUUGAACGCACAUUGCGCCCCUUGGUAUUCCAUGGGGCAUGCCUGUUCGAGCGUCAUUUGUACCCUCAAGCUUUGCUUGGUGUUGGGUGUUUGUCCUCUCCUUUGCGUUUGGACUCGCCUUAAAGCAAUUGGCAGCCAGUGUUUUGGUAUUGAAGCGCAGCACAUUUUGCGAUUCUAGCCGAUAAUACUUGCGUCCAUAAGCCUUUUUUAACUUUUGACCUCGGAUCAGGUAGGGAUACCCGCUGAACUUAAGCAUAUCAAUAAGCGGAGGA
rnacentral:misc_RNA from 1 species